AUGCAUCUCACAACUAAUCUCUUGUUCACCACCUUCAUCAUCAUAAGCAUCACUUCAUCUUUAGAAGUGGUGCAUGCACUAGCGCUACAACCACAACAUGCCCAUGACGGCGGCUGCAUCCCAGCUGAGAGGGCCGCCUUGCUCUCCUUCCACAAGGGCGUCACAAGCGACAACGCUGGUGUCCUCGCCUCGUGGCACGGACAUGAUUGCUGCAGGUGGAGGGGCGUUCAUUGCAGCAACCAAACAGGCCAUGUCAUCAAGCUUCACCUUCGCAAUACAAGUCCGGACCUUGACCCCUAUGAUGUGUGCGAUGAUGCUAAUUCAUUGGUUGGCGAGAUAAGCUCCUCUCUCCUUUCCUUGAAGCAUCUAGAGCACAUGGAUCUUAGCAUGAACUGUUUAGGGCCAAAUAGUGUUAUUCCUCAGUUCUUGGGCUCCAUGGAGAACUUGAGAUAUCUUAACCUCUCUGGCAUGCCAUUUACCGGCAGAGUUCCUUCUCAGCUUGGUAACCUAUCUAAUUUGCAGCAUCUUGAUCUUGGCACGAGUUCUUAUUACGGGACAUAUUCAAUGGAUAUCACUUGGUUAACAAAGCUACCAUUGCUGCAGUACCUUAGUAUGAGCACAAUUAAUCUCUCAAGGGUGGAUGACUGGCCUGGUACGUUGAAUAUGAUUCCGUCUCUAAAGGUUAUCAAUCUUGCUGCAUGCUCACUUGAUACUGCAAGCCAAUCACUUCCCCACCUUAACCUCACGAAACUUGAGAAGCUUGAUCUGUCCGGGAAUAAUUUAGGCCACUCAGUUGCAUCAAGUUGGUUUUGGAACGUAACAAGCCUCAAAUACCUUGGUCUUGGUGGGACUCGGUUAUUUACAAAAUUUCCAGACACACUAGGAAACAUGACCUCACUCAAGGUACUUGAUUUGUCAGAAAGCUCUCUGGAUGAGUCUGGAAACCUUAAAAGUCUCCUUAAAAAUCUUUGCUGUUUGGAAAUCCUUGACCUCUCUGGAAAUUUUAUGAAUGGUGAUAUACGGAUGCCGAUGGAGGGCUUGCCACGAUGCGCAUGGGACAAAUUGACGGAGCUGCAUUUCCAUGGAAACAGAUUCAACGGGACGCUACCAAAUUUUAUAGGGGAAUUCAGGAGUUUGAGUGUGCUUGACCUGUCCAGCAACAACUUUGUUGAGCUCAUACCGCCAGGGCUUAUGAAUUUGGUGCGUUUAACCAAUCUUGAUCUCAGACAGAAUCAACUCAAUAGGAUACCAAUCGAAAUUGGUGCCCUUACUGCUCUGACUUAUUUGGACAUGAGCCACAACAACUUGACUGGAAGUAUAGCAGUCGAGCUUGGAAAAUUGAAGCAUUUGGCAUUCCUUUUUCUUGAAGACAACAAACUUACUGGACCAAUACCACCAGAGGUUAUGAAUUCAACUUGCUUAACCUUCCUAGACCUCUCCAGUAAUCACUUCAAUGGAAGUGUACCCACUGAAUUAGGUUCUCUGAAGAAUCUGGUUGAUCUGGACCUAAGCAAAAACAACCUUAAUGGUGUGAUCACGGAAGAGCACUUUGCAAAUCUAAAAGGUUUGAAGAUGAUAGAUUUCUCUUCCAAUAAUUUGAAGAUUGUAGUUGAUUCAAAUUGGCGCUCUCCUUUUAGGCUACAGUCUGCAGUUUUUUCAUCUUGUCAAAUGGGUCCUCUCUUUCCAACUUGGCUUCAGCAGCUGCGGGGAAUCGAUUCACUUGACAUUUCGAGCACAGCUUUAGAGGACAAGUUUCCUAAUUGGUUUUGGUAUACAUUUUCACAGUCAACAUAUCUCAACAUCUCUAACAACCAAAUAAGUGGAAGCUUGCCAGAGCAUAUGGAUGGCAUGGACUUGGAAGAACUCUACCUAAGUUCAAACCGGCUCACCGGCGGGUACAUUCCAGAAUCCAUUUGCAAAUUGCAGCAACUAUUGUAUUUGGAUUUGUCGAACAACCUUUUAGAGGGUGAAAUUCCUCAAUGUUUUGGGAUCCAAAAAUUACAAUUUCUUCUGCUCGGUAACAACAGUUUAUCAGGAAAAUUCCCAACAUUUUUGCAGAAUAACACAAAUAUGGAGUUCUUGGAUCUUGCAUGGAACAAGUUGUCUGGAAGAUUGCCUACUUGGAUAGGAGAUCUUGAGGAAUUAAGUUUUGUAUUAUUGGGCCACAAUGCAUUUUCUGAUAAUACUCCAGCCGACAUAACAAGCCUUAGGUCCCUUCAAUACGUGGAUCUAUCAUGCAACAAUUUCUCUGGUGCAAUACCUUGGCAUCUAUCGAACCUAACAUUUAUGACAGAAGUACAAAAUAAAUUCAUGGAUAUGGAUGAUAGAUUUAUUGGAACCUCAGAUAUUCAUGGUAGUUACAUGGAAUUCCCUGUGAUGGGGGCAGGUCACCUAGGAGAAAUAUUGUCGGUAGUAACAAAAGGACAGCAACUUGUAUAUGGUAGAACACUUGCAUAUUUUUCACUGGUAUCUCUUGACCUCUCUCAGAACAAGCUCUCUGGUGAAAUUCCGUCGAGCUUGUCAAGCCUGGCAUCUUUGGCCGCGUUGAACUUGUCCUAUAACAAUUUGUGUGGAAGGAUACCCUCUAGCCCUUAA
rnacentral:rRNA from 1 species